AAGCUCAUUAUAAAUAUGCAAUAGGCAGAUCAAAGUUAUAACCAUUGUUCCAAAAUUCUCAAAUUGUUAUACAUAAAAAAAAAAAUCUCAAUGGAACUAAAAAAUAAUUAUAAAUCCACAGGUGAAAACUCUUAUCUCAGUCAAUUACUGUGCAUAUGUUCAAACUUGAGAUAACCAAAUGCCUACAAGCUAGUUUAUCAACUGUUUUCCCUAUGCAAGCGGCACCUCCUUCAACAAGAGCUGA
rnacentral:misc_RNA from 1 species